UCUGGCGACGAUAGCGCGGUGGUCCCACCUGACCCCAUGCCGAACUCAGAAGUGAAACGCCGUAGCGCCGAUGGUAGUGUGGGGCUUCCCCAUGUGAGAGUAGGACAUUGCCAGAC
rnacentral:rRNA from 1 species